rnacentral:rRNA from 1 species
AGACCCGAAACCCGGUGAUCUAGCCAUGGGCAGGUUGAAGGUUGGGUAACACUAACUGGAGGACCGAACCGACUAAUGUUGAAAAAUUAGCGGAUGACCUGUGGCUGGGGGUGAAAGGCCAAUCAAACCGGGAGAUAGCUGGUUCUCCCCGAAAGCUAUUUAGGUAGCGCCUCGUGAAUUCAUCUCCGGGGGUAGAGCACUGUUUCGGCUAGGGGGCCAUCCCGGCUUACCAACCCGAUGCAAACUGCGAAUACCGGAGAAUGUUAUCACGGGAGACACACGGCGGGUGCUAACGUCCGUCGUGAAGAGGGAAACAACCCAGACCGCCAGCUAAGGUCCCAAAGUCAUGGUUAAGUGGGAAACGAUGUGGGAAGGCCCAGACAGCCAGGAUGUUGGCUUAGAAGCAGCCAUCAUUUAAAGAAAGCGUAAUAGCUCACUGGUCGAGUCGGCCUGCGCGGAAGAUGUAACGGGGCUAAACCAUGCACCGAAGCUGCGGCAGCGACACUCAGGUGUUGUUGGGUAGGGGAGCGUUCUGUAAGCCUGUGAAGGUGUGCUGUGAGGCAUGCUGGAGGUAUCAGAAGUGCGAAUGCUGACAUAAGUAACGAUAAA